CUGUAAAACUCCAGUCAUUGUGACUGUAUCACAGUUACCCAUUGUCUUGUUUAUGGGGGAGGGAGGAAGCAGUUCUGCCUUAGACAUGGCGACACUGAGAUGGCUGUUAGGGCUCAGUGCAGGCGUCGAGCAGACAGGUGGCUGUGUAAGCCUGCCGUUUGGGAGACAGGUCUGGGAUGGAGAUGACGGCAUGUGGACCGCAUCUAAAGCAUCGUAUCUCCCGCCACUUCUAGCAUGCUAUUUAACCCAGCCACUGAGAUACUUAUUUUUAAAAUAUUAUUUCUUAAAGUUCUAUAUUUGUUUUUGUUGCUGAAGUGUGACUUGUAAAAGAAUAAGUGACAAUAAUAUGAGCUUCCUAGAAAAUAAAGGGAAAGUGGUUUGUAAACCCUAAAGGGCUAUAAAAAGGUUUAAGUAUUAUUAUGUUAGUAACUCUCUCUGGGAUUUUCAUGAGGUCCAAAUAAAACUGUAUAUAUAAAUUAAAAAUGAAAACAUGUACACUCAAUUAUUAUAUUUGGCUUUAGUACCUGGUUAACUUUUAGCUAAUAGCUAAUGCUCACUGGGUGCUUACUUUACGUGAAUUAACCACCUAAUUAAUCUUCACAACAGCCUGUGACUGGUAGAUACUACUUAUUCAUAUUUUACAGACAAAAAAACAAACAAAACUAAAAUGCUAAAGUGAUAGACCCAGGACUUGAAUCCACCGAGUUGGCGCCUAAAAGCUGUGCUCUUAGCUGUUCUGUGGAUCUUCCCCAUUUUAAAUGGCAGAUCUUACCCAGUGUCUUCCACUUCAAGUUUUAAAAAAUGUUAGGGCCACCUUGAACCCAACCACAAAACAGCACUCCAGGCAUUGGGACCUGGCAAAGGGCCUUGUCUCUACUGACUUAGUUUCACACUGAACUGUCCUCAGACCUCACAGGGCACUGACCUCCCACCAAGUGCCCACUCUGUACUCAUUGCAAAUGCCAUCUACUUGAUGUAAGUUAUUUGCCUGAAGCCACCCAAUGAGUCAGUAGCGGGCCAGGGACUGGAAUCUGGGUCUCUUGCCUUUCAAACACCACAUUUGUUUGGUGUUAAUAAAACCAUAUUUCUCCAGGGGAUCUGGCAGAAAUUUGAAAGUGCUCAAUUUUACUGCAGUAAAUACUAAGAAUCCCUUUUUAAAGCAAAGAAGCCAAGCCCCAGCCUUGGAAAACACAAUUUGUCCUGAGGGCCUUUGACAAGCUCACUUUGGCACCAGGAUCAGAUCCUAGAUCAGUCGGCCUUGCUUGGUUCCAUCUCCUGCUGGGGCUGCUGGGAGCUGCAGCAAGACCUGGAAACACUCUUGCAGAUGACACUGGAAUAUGUCAGUCCUCCCCACCGUCAGCAGGCCCCAGCUGAUGGUCCUCACAUUCCUGGGACACUGGUGACACAGGUCAGGACCCAGGUGAACGAGCCAGGCUGUCAGAAUUGACACCUCUCUGCCUGUGUGCUGUGUGUCGUGACGUGCAGUUUAGCUUCCGGUGUUUGUGGAAGGUGUUUGCCUGAUUUCCUGAGCCACACCAGUCGAGGAGAAGAUGCAGGCGUGCAGGAGGAGAAGGGAGAAGAAAAGAGAGUAUGGACUGCUUGCGUGCAGGGAGUGGUUUAUUACUUUGUCAUCUUAAUUAUUCUGGGCAUAUUGUGGACCCUCGGCUAACAACGUGAUUAAGAAAUUUAACUGAUCAAAAUGUUUUAGAAAGCCGAAUUUCCGAUCUCAAUCGACUGUGCUCCGGCCGGAACUGAGUUUGAAUGUAUUUUUCAGAAGGCAGGUUAUCACGGAAGACCCGUAUGAAGGCGCACAAGGGCAUGCUUUGAUCUUUUUAAUACUCACAGUUCCCAGGACGAUGGCAUUCAUGUCCAUCUCUGCCUCGACAGCCGGGCUUUAGGCAAAAGCCCGUCGUGGCAAACACGGACCAGAUUGGGGCUGCACUCAGCUCAGCAGGUUAAGCUUCAUGUCAGUAACGGUUCCUAGACAAGAUGCUUCAAAACCACGAGGAUCUCUCUGGAGUUUUCUUUCCCUUAGAAGAAGUCUGUGUUCCCACUUUCUCUGCGGUGCGCGUGAUGGCUGCAGCCAGCCAGCCUGUGAGCCCUGGUCUGCGGUGCAGCUCUGUCAGCCAUGGGCCGUGUGAGCAGGGCAAGUCCUCCUCUGCCCUGUGUGGGUGGCGAUGCCCAGUGUAGGGUACGUUGCGUGAGGAAGAGCACCUUGACGCUCUCCCUACAGCUGGGCGAUCGAUCGGGGGGACCCUCUUGGUGACACACCUGCCUUCCUGGUCCUCCGCUCUGAGGUCCUCCUCCGACCCAGUGCUCUGCUUCGUCACCAGGAAGCUGCAUGCUGACGUGGGUGGUAACAAUGAGAAGACUCGCCUGAGAACUAGUUCUUUUCCACAUGUAUGCCCACGGUUAAAAUCAAGGCUCUGUGUCUCUAGGACACGAACAAACAGAAAUACCAGACCUUUAUCACUGUUCUUAAACGGAGAGAGGCGUAGCCUGUUCUGACACACAGAGGACGCGGAAGGUCAGUCACAGGAGUGCCUGCUUGCAUGCUGGCUGGCGUAUGAGUAAAACAUGGAAGAUCAAGGAGCAGUAUCCUCAUUGCUCUGCCUCUGAGUCAUAAACAGUUGUUUAAAUUUAAUGUUAAAAGAUUGCUGGGGGUUAUCUUGAGAUUUAUGAGAUAAUGGUUACAAAGAAUUUUCAGUUCUACAAAUGAGUAUUCUGAUGAAACUCUGAAAGUCUUUGCAUUUUCUAAAACUAGUGCAGGUGUUGCUGCAACACUUUUUCCUUUCCUUCCUCUUCUUACGACUUGUCUCUUCUCUCCACUCUCCUGCCCUCCUGCCCUCCAUCCACAGUGUUUAUACAGCCCAGACAUCAGUCCUUCCUCCGUGGAAGCUGCAGGACAGUGGGCGAAAAGGGUGGCUUGCAAAGGCGAGGAUGUGCUAUGAGGGAAACGAACAUGUACAGUAAAGAAUCUGAAUUAAACCUGGUGUUAACUCUGUGUGUACAUAUUCAGAAACUAAGGGUAACAACAGAAGGUAGAUUUAUGAGCAUACAGACUUUGGUUUUUACAAAGCUGUCUAGUACAGAGUCACUCUUAGAGAUUAGUGUCAUGACAUAUGUAAAUAGUAGAUAGGUAGGAGGGAGGGAGGGAUUUUCCUAACAAGCUGAAAUGCCGAUCUGUAAAAAGCUAAUUUCUCACAUGAGUGUUUUAGGGUUGAUGGUGACUCUUGGCUGAGUUCUGAUAAACCAGAGGAGAAAGCUUUUUAUGUUAUUAUUAUUUUUUUUUUAACAAAUAAGGUUUGAUAUACAUGAUAUACAUAAUAUACAUAUUCUCUUAGAAGAAGUUGCUAUGUUCCCAUUUUCAGAAGAACUAGAAAAGGGAGAGCUCAUUUCUGUGUUUACAGUGCUUAUCUGUUCCUAAAGAAGAUGUAUGGAAAAGUCUCAUCAUUGUCCUCACACUGAAAACAGGAAUCAGGCCUGCUGUGUGUGCCGCACUCAGUGGACAGGAGGGUGUGGGUGUAAGGAAGGCCACUUUCCCUGCUGAGGACAGCCCCCUGGCUGGCCAGUCUGCCUGCGCAGGAGUGACUGCAACCACGAUAGCCCUGCACAGCAGGAGCCGCUGGGCCCAGGGCUUUCCCUGUCUGCUGUCCCCUGGAGGGAGGGCUGUGGUCUCAGCUCUCAGGUCCUCACCACUAGAUCAAGCAAACGCAAUGCCUUCUGUUCAGGGAACAUGGCUGGUGUCUCAGGUCUCGGGAUCUGGGUCGAGUCCCCCAGGGAACAACUCUUGUCUCUCGUGUUUUUGGCCCUUCUGACUAAAAGCAGCCAGGGCCUUUAAGCAGAGGAGGAAAUUCAAGCAGAAAUCUGCCACAGCUGGAAAUUAUCUUUAAAAUGACCUUGCCUUAUUAGAAAACUAGUUCAUUGAAAGUUUGUUCACAUUUGCGCUUGAUCCAAUGUUUAAAUGAUUUAAAAAUAAAAGACUCAUUUUGUAAGUUAACAGUUCACGCCACUGUCAUAACCGUAAAGUUCUGGGAUCUUUUGUGAACAAAUGAAGUACGGUGCCUUCUUUAUGACAUAAUUAAAUCUAGACCCCAGUGAUAUGGGGCACCUACUAAAUACCCAGAUGGGCACAGUGUUCGCCUUGAAGUGAAGACAUGCGUAGAAUUUUAAUCACAUCAUGAUUUAUUUUUGCUCUUUUAAAUACCACCUUUUCGAUAGUUGCUUCUGAAUGAAUGACUAAUUAUUUACUGUGAUUUAUAACUAGGAAUUUGAACGUUAAAAAAUUCUAAUCAAGA